GUCCAGUGUUGCUCUUCCCUAUAUGCUGUUACAUAAAAGACUUAAGGAAACCAUAAUUACUGCAGACUGUUGGGAAGAAGAAAAUAAAAGUCCACUUUCUAAGCCUCAGUAAGCACACACAGCAGAAACCAGGAGAUAAGGAGUUGCAUGAUCUCAGACCACUACUGCUGAUGAAUUCAGGAAUAUGUAUUGUAGCAGAUUGACAAAUAGACAUACUUCUGCUGUUAAUGAAAGAGUGCUAUUAAGACUGCAGGGUUGCAACUGAAAAGCUUUGUUAAGCUCCAUCCGAGAGUCCAAGAGCAAAGCAGCGCUGGCGGAGAGGACUCCUGAAGGCUGUCGCUGAUUCCCAGGAAAACUAAACCAGUUGCACUUCAGCGCACUUGCAGAGGGUUGAAAGGAAGCAAGACAGAAUGAGCUCACGUUGCCAGUGGACUGGAGAGACCAUGAGAAAACCACAGCAGCAUUAGGAAGUACCCACAUGAAUUGCUCUAUUCCUUUCUGUGUUUUACAUCUGCAAAGGCUGACUAUACUCUUUGCUGUUAAGAAUGACCAAAUUAUGCCCUAGGUGGAGGAGUCAAACAUGUUAGAAAAAAAUAUGUUUAUUACGUGAGUGUAAACUUGAGAGAAAAUGCUUUUUCUGUUCUUCCAGUUGUUUGGGAAAAUAUGCAUUGUGAGCAGUGAUACUACAGAUCACUUUCCUCCAAGGCUGUGCUUAGAAAUCCAUGAGAAGAAGUAUUUCACAGCAAGACCGCACAGCCUUCCUGGUGCAAUGAGAUACACGCAAAAAGUCUUUAGACAGCUGAGUACUGCAGAAGAUACCUGCAUCCCUCAGAGAGAGAGUCAAAGGGAGUUCCAACAACAGGACAGAGGUAGUAGGUGGCAAUGUCCAUCUGAUCCAGCGGUAUGAGCUCUGGGACUCUCAA